rnacentral:rRNA from 1 species
UACGUAGGUGACGAGCGUUAUCCGGAGUUACUGGGCGUAAAGCGUGCGCAGGCGGUUUUGUAAGUCUGUCGUGAAAUCCCCGGGCUCAACCUGGGAAUUGCAUUCGAUACUGGAUAGCUAGAGUUCGGCAGAGGGAAGCGGAAUUUCGGGUGUAGCGGUGAAAUGCGUAGAUAUCCGAAGGAACAUCAGUGGCGAAAGCGACUUCCUGGACCGAACUGGACGAUCAGGCACGAAAGCGUGGGGAGCAAACAGG